rnacentral:lncRNA from 1 species
GGGGGAAAAACCCUCUCGUUGGAGAUUUCAAAACAGAGUCUACCAGCUUUCCAGUCUGUGCACUUGCGGAGUGGCAGGACUUGGAGAAGAGGCGUUGGGGGCUUGGGGCGCCGGUGUUUGUCCUAAACAAACAAGCCACAAAAUUCAUGUAUAUAUAAAUGUGCGUUGCCUUUGGCACGUGUGGUGUCUCCCUCCCUGGCAUCCAGGGUGGGUGCUGUGCACGUCUGACUUCUCUCACACUUUGGCUGGGGUGUGAUGUGCAAGUGUGUGUGAUGGAAUUGAGGAGGGGGCUGCUGUGGUUUUUAUCUGAUCCACUUGACAGAUUACUUGAAUCCAGCCCACCUUUCCGCACAUGUCAAACAGAUGGGAUCAUUGUUACAAGCCUUGAGAGAGCCGUGGCUGAGCGGUGGGGACCCACAAGACACCCCGAAGGUGAAGUCAAGGGCUCUCAGACUUAUAAGGUUAUUAGGACACCAGACUGGCAUCCCCAAGGAGAACUUUACGGAGACUUGCAACAUACCAACAAGUUGGAAGGGGAAUAAAAAACUCGCCGCGCUCCAAAGCCCAAGCACCAGGCUGAGGGAAACACUGUGACCUGAACAGGCACACUGGCAGCUGGAUGGGGAUCUGGCUGAGGAGGACCUCUGGAGAGCAAAAGCUAAGUACCAGCUUGGAUUUCUGUGUCCCUCACGUUCCCUUUGCAAUUUGAGAUCUAAGCAUCAGAUUCGGUAUUUCUGUAUGCAAGUUCUUUCAGCGAUUUGUUUGAAGGUGGAGGUAUCUUAGGUGGAGGGCUCCAGAAAGAACUGAACCCUUAGGGCAGGAAAAGGGAGGAAGAAAUGAAAAUUAGAAGAUAAGUGUCUCUUUAAUGACUUCAGGUAGGGAGUGGUACCGGUUUGGGAGGGAGUGUGUGUUUGGGAGGAUUUGGCUGCUGUCUGUGUGUCCCUCUUCUAGUACCAGCGGGGGGAGGGGCUAUUGAAGAAGGGACCAAAAGAAAAAAGGAAAGAAAGAAAGAAACCUGAGCUCUUUGGGAGGAGGUUCCAAGGAACCCAGAGAAAUGAACUUUGUUCUGCAAGGACAAAACUAGAGCCAGGAGAGCCAGGUCAAGGGAGAAGGGAGAGGGAAGCACAGCACUCAUCAUCGGUAGCCAGAAGAGGCACUCUUUUGGGGCUGCUCCUAAAAGUUUGGUCCGUGAACAAAACAGUUUCCCUGGUGACUGCGAAUCCACUGCUCGCCGUCUCUUUCUCUUCUCCCCAUCAUUCCUGUGUGGUACCCAGAAGUUGACUUCUGGUUCCAUAUAAAGAGCUGGGGGAGGUAUGAUGUGCCUAAAGAUCCUGAGAAUAAGCCUGGUGAUUCUGGCUGGAUGGGCACUCAGUACUGCCAGCUUGGAGCCGGGCUGGACGCGCAAGAGAUCCCUGGCUCAGAGGGGACACCUGAGCCAGGUGCUGUCAGAAGGAGAACGCUGUUGGCUGGGGGCCAAGCUGCGAAGACCCAGAGCUGCUCCCCAGAAUCACCUCUUUGGGGUCUACCCCAGCAGGCCCUGGGGACCACCUGAGGCCCUACCCUGUGGGGGGGCAGGGAAGCCCCCAGGCAGGACACAGUA